rnacentral:rRNA from 1 species
UAAGGAAUAUUGGUCAAUGGACGAAAGCCUGAUGCAGCAACGCCGCGUGAGCGAUGAAGGCCUUCGGGUCGUAAAGCUCUGUCCUCAAGGAAGAUAAUGACGGUACUUGAGGAGGAAGCCCCGGCUAACUACGUGCCAGCAGCCGCGGUAAUACGUAGGGGGCUAGCGUUAUCCGGAAUUACUGGGCGUAAAGGGUGCGUAGGUGGUUUCUUAAGUCAGAGGUGAAAGGCUACGGCUCAACCGUGGUAAGCCUUUGAAACUGGGAAACUUGAGUGCAGGAGAGGAGAGUGGAAUUCGUAGUGUAGCGGUGAAAUGCGUAGAUAUUAGGAGGAUCACCAGUUGCGACGGCGGCUCUCUGGACUUUAACUGACUCUGUGGUACGAAAGCUUGGGUAUCUAUCA